AUUGAACGCUGGCGGCAGGCCUAACACAUGCAAGUCGAGCGGUAACACAGAGAGCUUGCUCUCGGGUGACGAGCGGCGGACGGGUGAGUAAUGUCUGGGAAACUGCCUGAUGGAGGGGGAUAACUACUGGAAACGGUAGCUAAUACCGCAUAACGUCGCAAGACCAAAGAGGGGGACCUUCGGGCCUCUUGCCAUCAGAUGUGCCCAGAUGGGAUUAGCUAGUAGGUGGGGUAACGGCUCACCUAGGCGACGAUCCCUAGCUGGUCUGAGAGGAUGACCAGCCACACUGGAACUGAGACACGGUCCAGACUCCUACGGGAGGCAGCAGUGGGGAAUAUGGCACAAUGGGCGCAAGCCUGAUGCAGCCAUGCCGCGUGUAUGAAGAAGGCCUUCGGGUUGUAAAGUACUUUCAGCGGGGAGGAAGGUGCUGAGGUUAAUAACCUCAGCAAUUGACGUUACCCGCAGAAGAAGCACCGGCUAACUCCGUGCCAGCCGCCGCGGUAA
rnacentral:rRNA from 1 species